rnacentral:rRNA from 1 species
GAUGAACGCUGGCGGCGUGCCUAACACAUGCAAGUCGAACGGGAUGCGUAUCGGAAAGCUUCGGCCGGAAGAUACGUUAUCUAGUGGCGGACGGGUGAGUAACACGUGGGUAACCUGCCUUAUGGAGGGGGAUAACAGAGAGAAAUCACUGCUAAUACCGCAUAAGCACACAGUACCGCAUGGUACAGGGUGAAAAGAUUUAUCGCCAUAAGAUGGACCCGCGUCUGAUUAGCCAGUUGGCAGGGUAAAAGCCUACCAAAGCAACGAUCAGUAGCCGAUCUGAGAGGAUGACCGGCCACAUUGGGACUGAGACACGGCCCAAACUCCUACGGGAGGCAGCAGUGGGGAAUAUUGCACAAUGGGGGAAACCCUGAUGCAGCGACGCCGCGUGAGUGAAGAAGUAUUUCGGUAUGUAAAGCUCUAUCAGCAGGGAAGAUAAUGACAGUACCUGACUAAGAG